GCGGAGGAAAAGAAACUAACAAGGAUUCCCCUAGUAACUGCGAGUGAAGCGGGAAGAGCUCAAAUUUGAAAUCUGACAGUUUCAAACUGUUUGAAUUGUAAUCUAGAGAAGUGUUAUCCGUGCUGGACCGUGUACAAGUCUUCUGGAACGAAGCGUCGCAGAGGGUGAUAAUCCCGUAUCUGACACGGACUACCAGUGCUUUGUGAUGCGCUCUCAAAGAGUCGAGUUGUUUGGGAAUGCAGCUCUAAAUGGGUGGUAAAUUCCAUCUAAAGCUAAAUAUUGGCGAGAGACCGAUAGCGAACAAGUACCGUGAGGGAAAGAUGAAAAGAACUUUGGAAAGAGAGUUAAACAGUACGUGAAAUUGUUGAAAGGGAAACGCUUGAAGUCAGUCACAUUGAUCAGAAAUCAAUCUUGCUUUUUAAAGCUUGAUGCAUUUUCUGAUUUUGAUGGGUCAGCAUCAAUUUUGAUCAACAGAAAAAGUUUGAGAGAAUGUGGCAUCUUUCUAGAUGUGUUAUAGCUUUCAAUCGUAUAUGCUGGUCAAGAUUGAGGAACUUAGCAUGCCGCAAGGCCGGAUUUCGAUCACGUUCAUGCUUUGGAUGCUGGCAUAAUGGCUUUAAUCGACCCGUCUUGA
rnacentral:rRNA from 1 species